GCAUUAGUGGUGUAAUGGUUAACAUGUGGUCUUCCCAUUUCAACUGGCCGCGUUCGGGGUUCGAUUCCCCGCUAAUGCA
rnacentral:tRNA from 1 species